CUCAUGACGAACGCUGGCGGCGUGCCUAACACAUGCAAGUCGAGCGAGAACCGUGAGCAAUCUUUUCGGGGAGCGCAUACGGGGAAAGCGGCGGACGGGUGAGUAACGCGUGGGCAACCUGCCCUGUACUGUGGGAUAACACCGGGAAACUGGUGCUAAUACCGCAUGAACCGGGACCGUGGCAUCACGGAGACGGCAAAGGGAAACCGGUACAGGAUGGGCCCGCGUCCAAUUAGCUUGUUGGUGGGGUAAAGGCCUACCAAGGCGACGAUUGGUAGCCGAGCUGAGAGGUUGAUCGGNCACAUUGGGACUGAGACACGGCCCAGACUCCUACGGGAGGCAGCAGUGGGGAAUAUUGCGCAAUGGGGGGAACCCUGACGCAGCGACGCCGCGUGAAGGAAGAAGGUCUUCGGAUCGUAAACUUCUUUGACUGGGGAAGAAGAAGUGACGGUACCCAGAGAACAAGCCACGGCUAACUACGUGCCAGCAGCCGCGGUAAUACGUAGGUGGCUAGCGUUGUCCGGAAUUACUGGGUGUAAAGGGCGUGUAGGCGGGGAUGCAAGUCAGGUGUGAAAAUCCGAGGCUCAACUUCGGGACUGCAUCUGAAACUGUGUCUCUUGAGUACUGGAGAGGGAAGCGGAAUUCCUAGUGUAGCGGUGAAAUGCGUAGAGAUUAGGAGGAACACCAGUGGCGAAGGCGGCUUCCUGGACAGAGACUGACGCUGAGGCGCGAAAGCGUGGGGAGCGAACAGGAUUAGAUACCCUGGUAGUCCACGCCGUAAACGAUGGAUACUAGG
rnacentral:rRNA from 1 species